rnacentral:rRNA from 1 species
AUGGCAUCGAAUAGAAGAGUUGGUGUGCAAAGAAAAAGCGACUACCUCUCAGGGGCUGUAGACAGCGGCGAUGACCCUCGUGUUGCCCAUCUCGAACAGUGCCGACCCAUCGGCCCUGGAGAAGAUGUCGACCUCGCCCUUGAGCUACCACAUCUGGAAGGCAAGGCAGGAAACAUGAAGAAUCAGAGGCAAUCGAGCCAACAUGAAGAGGAUGAGGCGGCUCUGCUUCACGAGAGGAAGAAGUGA